rnacentral:rRNA from 1 species
GAUGAACGCUAGCGGCAGGCCUAACACAUGCAAGUCGAGGGGUAGAAGCAGCUUGCUGCUUUGAGACCGGCGCACGGGUGCGUAACGCGUAUGCAAUCUACCUUUUACUAAGGAAUAGCCCAGAGAAAUUUGGAUUAAUGCCUUAUGGUAUAUUUGAAUGGCAUCAUUUAAAUAUUAAAGAUUUAUUGGUAAAAGAUGAGCAUGCGUCCCAUUAGUUAGUUGGUAAGGUAACGGCUUACCAAGACGAUGAUGGGUAGGGGUCCUGAGAGGGAGAUCCCCCACACUGGUACUGAGACACGGACCAGACUCCUACGGGAGGCAGCAGUGAGGAAUAUUGGUCAAUGGAGGCAACUCUGAACCAGCCAUGCCGCGUGCAGGAUGACGGUCCUAUGGAUUGUAAACUGCUUUUGUACAGGAAGAAAAAGAGUUACGUGUAGCUUAUUGACGGUACUGUAAGAAUAAGGAUCGGCUAACUCCGUGCCAGCAGCCGCCGUAA